rnacentral:rRNA from 1 species
UACGAAGGGGGCUAGCGUUGUUCGGAAUUACUGGGCGUAAAGCGCACGUAGGCGGCUUUCCAAGUUGGAGGUGAAAUCCCCGGGCUUAACCCGGGAACUGCCUCCAAAACUGAAAGGCUAGAGUCCGAGAGAGGUGAGUGGAAUUUCCAGUGUAGAGGUGAAAUUCGUAGAUAUUGGAAAGAACACCAGUGGCGAAGGCGGCUCACUGGCUCGGUACUGACGCUGAGGUGCGACAGCGUGGGGAGCAAACAGGAUUAGAUACCCUGGUAGUCCACGCCGUAAACGAUGGGUGCUAGUUGUCGGGCAGCUUGCUGUUCGGUGACGCAGCUAACGCAUUAAGCACCCCGCCUGGGGAGUACGGUCGCAAGAUUAAA